rnacentral:rRNA from 1 species
UACAGAGGGGGCAAGCGUUGUUCGGAAUUACUGGGCGUAAAGGGCGCGUAGGCGGCCUGUUAAGUCAGACGUGAAAUCCCUCGGCUCAACCGGGGAACUGCGUCUGAUACUGGCGGGCUUGAAUUCGGGAGAGGGAUGUGGAAUUCCAGGUGUAGCGGUGAAAUGCGUAGAUAUCUGGAGGAACACCGGUGGCGAAGGCGGCAUCCUGGACCGACAUUGACGCUGAGGCGCGAAAGCCAGGGGAGCAAAC